CCGCAAGGGGCGCGAGUUUAUCCAGUAUUCCAUGUGAGCUGCUUGAAGUUAGCUAGGGGAGAUGAGUACCAGUUCAUUUACCGGAGAUGGAUGAGGCCCGGCCAGAGCCUGUGGCCGUACUUGAUCCACGAGUCCGUCGUGAGAAGGAGGAAGCGUUGGUUCAUUGGUCACACAUGAUUCCAGCGGACGCUACUUGGGAGGAUUG
rnacentral:lncRNA from 1 species